rfam:Actinoplanes derwentensis strain DSM 43941 genome assembly, chromosome: I
CUUGACCGAACCCAACCACAACGGACCGUCAACACGAUCCUGUCCAUACGUCGCCAACAACGCCUGCGCCUC